rnacentral:tRNA from 1 species
UCCUCGGUAGCUCAAUGGUAGAGCAUUCGGCUGUUAACCGAAGGGCUGUAGGUUCGAAUCCUACCCGGGGAGCCA